AGAGAGGUAUAAAAGGAGAGAGGUAGAGAGGUAUAAAAGGAGAGAGGUAGAGAGGUAGAAAAGGAGAGAGGUAGAAAAGGAGAGAGGUAGAAAAGGAGAGAGGUAGAAAAGGAGAGAGGUAGAAAAGGAGAGAGGUAGAAAAGGAGAGAGAGAGAAGUAGAAAAUGAGAGAGAGGGAGAGUGAGAGGUAGAAAAGGAGAGAGAGAGAGAGAGGUAGAAAAGGAGAGAGAGAGAGAGGUAGAAAAGGAGAGAGAGAGCGGUAGAAAAGGAGAGAGAGAAAGAUUUUUUAAAAAUCCUUCAUUUUGUAUAUUCCACUAAAAUUCUCAUCUGAGCUUGGACAGGCAUGAGAAAAAGUCCACUGCAGAAAUUGUCCCCGUGAACUUUUCAGCAAAAAAAUUAAGUGUAAGUGGUACAUGGACUGAACUCGACCACAGAGCUGAAUUUCUCAAUUGUGGUCAAGUGGACUUCUGACACGGAGUGAAUACAACCUUUACCAUUCUACUUACAUAUCCUGCAGAAUGAGGAGAGAGAGAGAGAGAGAGAGAGAGAUUGAAACUCAAAGAGAAGUGUACAUUGUGGUAGGUGCAACCAAUAGAGCAAUGCAGAGAUAAAACCUACAGUUGGGUUACCCUACUAGAAA